AGCAGCCACGGUAAUUCCAGCUCCAAUAGCGUAUAUUAAAGUUGUUGCAGUUAAAAAGCUCGUAGUUGAAUUUCAGGCCUGGCUGGACGGUCCGCCCUUCGGGUGAGUACUGUCUGUGGUCGGGUCCUACCUUCUGGCGAAGCGUCAUGGCCUUAACCGGCCGUGGCGGGGAACCAGGACUUUUACUGUGAAAAAAUUAGAGUGUUCAAAGCAGGCAAUCGCUUGGAUACAUUAGCAUGGAAUAAUGGAAUAGGACAAUGGUUCUAUUUGUUGGUUUCUAGGACCGUUGUAAUGAUUAAUAGGGAUAGUUGGGGGCAUUAGUAUUCAAUUGUCAGAGGUGAAAUUCUUGGAUUUAUUGAAGACUAACUACUGCGAAAGCAUUUGCCAAGGAUGUUUUCAUUAAUCAAGAACGAAAGUUAGGGGAUCGAAGACGAUCAGAUACCGUCGUAGUCUUAACCAUAAACUAUGCCGACUAGGAAUCGGGCGAUGUUGACAAAAUGACGCGCUCGGCA
rnacentral:rRNA from 1 species